UAAAAAUCAAAUUAUUAACUUUAUGACUUUAUAAUUAUAAAUUAUUUACUUACAUUCUAUUAACAUAUCAUAAUAGUAUUAUUUUAAUUUAAUUCAAUAAUUUUUCUAAUAAAGAUUUAAUUAAUAAAAAUUAAUAUAUAUUAUAUAAAACUUAUAACAAAAAGAUAAAAUUAACAUCCGUGCAUUGCACGGAUUAGUUGCUAGUUGCUUUAAGGGAAUGUUUGGUUCGAAGUUGGAAUCGGAAUCGGAAUCGGAAUCGAAAUAAGCUGGAAUCGGAAUCGGAAUGACUCAUUACCUAAUUCUGUUUGGUUCGUUACCUGAAUCGGAAUAGGAAUAAAUCAUUUCCAUUAUCGGUGUUUGGUUCAGGUAGGUAUAAAAAACGUAAUCAAAUUAAUAUACUAACUUUAUCUUUAUAAUAUAUUAAUUUAAAUUCAAAUUAAAAAUUAAAUAUUAAAAAUUUAGAUCAAAAUUUU
rnacentral:lncRNA from 1 species